CUCAAAGUGCUUACAAGUUUUUGAUAUUUUCUGCCACUCCGGCUGUGUACUGGGUGUCCGUCUCGGCGAUGAGGACGACGAUGACCAAGUCCUCCUUCUCCUGCUGCGUGAGCUCAGAGAUGAGGGAGCUGAGGGUGUCCGUAAGGUAGGAAUGCACCUCCCGCUUUACGCUGGGGAUUCCCAUCACGACAGACACUCCAGUGCGCCC
rnacentral:lncRNA from 1 species